rnacentral:rRNA from 1 species
UAGGGAAUCUUCCACAAUGGACGCAAGUCUGAUGGAGCAACGCCGCGUGAGUGAAGAAGGUUUUCGGACCGUAAAGCUCUGUUGUUGGUGAAGAAGGAUAGAGGUAGUAACUGGCCUUUAUUUGACGGUAAUCAACCAGAAAGUCACGGCUACUACGUGCCAGCAGCCGCGGUAAUCGUAGGUGGCAAGCGUUGUCCGGAUUUAUUGGGCGUAAAGCGAGCGCAGGCGGAAGAAUAAGUCUGAUGUGAAAGCCCUCGGCUUAACCGAGGAAUUGCAUCGGAAACUGUUUUCUUGAGUGCAGAAGAGGAGAGUAGAACUCCAUGUGUAGCGGUGGAAUGCGUAGAUAUAUGGAAGAAUACCAGUGGCGAAGGCGGCUCUCUGGUCUGCAACUGACGCCGAGGCUCGAAAGCAUGGGUAGCGAACAGGAUUAGAUACCCUGGUAGUCCAUGCCGUAAACGAUGAGUGCUAAGUGUUGGGAGGCUUCCGCCUCUCAGUGCUGCAGCUAACGCAUUAAGCACUCCGCCUGGGGGAGUACGACCGCAAGGUUGAA